rnacentral:lncRNA from 1 species
UUAAACAAUUAAGUAGCUUACUUGUUUUACAAUAUUUUGACAUAUCUUAUAGCUUGCGACCAUAGUCCUCAUUUUCGAAUCCCCAUCUCCAUGCUACUACAUGUAUCGUAUCAUCAUUGUACAUAUCUACUUCCUCUGUUCUUAAAUAUAUAUUUCACUAGAGACUACAUGUCUAAAACAUGUCUACACGGAACAAAAUAAAUGAAUCUAUGCUCUAAAACAUGUCUCUAUACAUUUAUAUGUAGUCCGUUAGUGAAACCUCUAAAAAAACUUAUAUUUAGGAGCAAAGGGAGUAAAAACUAUCCAACUAUCUAGCCGUCGUCGGAUAUGUCGAUGACCCCCUUGCAGGAGCUGUCGGCCUCAUGGUCAUUGGCGUUUGGGCGAAACGCAAGGCCUCCUCCUUGUUCUUCGCCCCCGCAUCUACAAAGAAAUUCUCACGUUUCACGUACACCUCGUGGAUGAAGUGGCGCUUUGCCGCCACCUUCACCUCGGAUUGGAUGGACUCGAGGGUGACCUGCUUCUCUACCGCCUACUCUGUUUCGACGAGCUCGAACUCCGCCAGCGUGUCCUCGACUCCAAACCAGGCCAGCUUCGGUGCCAGCGACUUCUCAUCCUAGUCCGGUGACGCCUCGUCCACCCAUGCCUAUGCCUCUUCCAUCUCCUUGUCCGAUGUCUUCACCUACUCCUUUGGGGUUCAAAGGCACGCCAGCUGCAAUACACGCAGCGUGGCGUGCUUUGACGGUGCACAUCUUCCGCCCCGACAUUCCAGGGGUCAACAACUUUUAGUGUGUCACCUUGGUGUGAACCAUGGCGGCAGGAGGAUGGCAACGACUGACGACGAGCUCGGAUUGUAAGUGGAAGAAGGUCAGGGAGAGGAGGGAUCAACGAAGGUGCGGACGGGAGGGGAGAGGGGGGAAAUGGAAUGUGGCUGGGGG